AGCUGCAGUAGGGCCAAUGUAGAUUUGGUCAGCAGGUGCACUUUAGCAAAUGGAACUUCUAAGUCAUCUGAAUGUUUAGUUCUUAACAAAAUAGGACAGAGCUAGCCUACAGUUACUUUGAAGUUCAUCUUGGUAGUAUAAGACAUGUUCACAGAAAUGGAAUGUAAACAAAUGCCUUUUGGAAGAUCCUGUUCAGAAUCACAGUGUAAACUUGAGACCUAUGUUAUGCUCAUUUCACCGCUUCCCAUGCUAUUUUAGUUUCUUUUGAUAAAAUCAUGAUUUUUCCUUUUUUCCCUUAAUAUCACAUCCUUAAGCUAGCCAUUAUUUGAAUGUUAGAUGUAGUCUGUCAAAGAUAAAACCAGUGGUAAAAGCCAUAAUUAGUUUCUCUCCUUCCUACAAGGGCCAGAAAACAGUCCUUCCUUGUUAAGAAAGUAUGUGGUGUAACACUUAGUUUUUAAUGUUACACAGAUUAUCUUUUUUGGGGGGGUCACACCCGGCGACACUCAGAAGUCACUCCUGGCAGGCGCAGGGAACCAUAUGGGAUGCCAGCGUUCGAACCAAGGUCCAUCCUGUGUUGACCGCGUGCAAGGCAAACGCCUUACCAUUAUGCCAUAGCUCUGUUCCCAGAUUAUCUAAUUUUUAAAAGAAAACAUUUGAGAGCAUAGCUAAUUACCACCAGCAUCACUGUUAUUGUAGUUGGUCAAAUAUGCUUAAGAAAACUCAGUAUGCAUAGGGAAAAGAUAACUAUCUCUCUGCUAAGAUUGAACUGCUGGUAAUAUAUAGAUGGCUUCCAAACUCUCCACACUCAGAAUUUUACACAUCUAAAAACAAGUCUUUGAAUUAU